AAAUAGAACUUUGCAGAGAGAGUUAACAGGGCGUGAAACCGUCAAUUGGCAAACGAAUCGGAGCCACGAAGUCGUUUCGUUAGUCUAGUUAAGUCGAGUUCAGUUUAAGAAUAACAAUUCUUAACCGUAUUCUUAUGUACUUAACCAGUCAUUGUAAGCGUACACUGCAACCAGUUAGACAAUUGGUUAUGGGCCCAGUUAGUUAGUUAAAUUAGUAGUAGCGUGGUUAAGUUUCGGCUUUUCUCGUGUUGCUGAAUUUAUAUUAAGUGAACUAUAACCAAAUACUGACUGGCAAAAUGAAAAUCGCUUCUUGUAAGCGUUAUAUAAAAGGCAAUAUAAUAUACAUAUGCUUACACACUCCACCAUUAGGUUUAAGCUCGGCAUUUUUGAAUUUAGACUUGCUUGCUACCAGUGGGGCAACUCCUGGUGCUUGGAUAGUUUCUAUCUAAUCGGGUGUCGACCUUGAUUUAAUGUCGUUUGGUUGUGCUACGAUCGAGUAUAAGUAUAAUAAUAUUUGCCAUUUUAAAUUGGCAGUGAGUAGGUCGGCUUUCCGAACGACCCGUCUUGAAACACGGACCAAGGAGUCUAAUUAGGCAUCAAGUCGAUCGGUCUUGAAUAGGCCAGACUAAGAGUAUACUUUUGAUUGAAGGCGUAGAGACAUGUGAUCUAGUGAACAAUAACAGUUUGCUGGCGCAACAUGUGCCUGUUCGUAUAGCAAUGUAGUAAUAAUGCUGAGCGGAGCAAAGAGAUGCUUGAUUGGUACCCGAAAGAUGGUGAUGCCUGGGCAAAUUGAAGCCAGAGGAAACUCUGGUGGAGGAUUGUAGCGAUUCUGACGUGCAAAUCGAUCGUCAGACCUGGGUAUAGGGGCGAAAGACUAAUCGAACCAUC
rnacentral:rRNA from 1 species